GGGGAUGAUCGGUUUCGACAUCGCCUCAGUCGCUGCGGGAAGCGAGUCGAGGACCCAGGGUCAUCUCGUCAACGAUCCCUGGAACACCAUAGGUGCCAACGCAAAGCGCACCGACUUCGCCCUCGCUGCCUAAGCGAGCCUGAAGUCCGUCGAACCAGGUCUGCCCCCGCCCUGGACCUCGGCGUCAUCUAGGGGGAUUGCUGCGAGCUUGCGUCACAGGGACUCGUGGGACUUGCACUGUGACUGGGCCCGUCUACCUAGAUGUCUGGGGCAAAGGUAGGGGCCGAGCAGAACGACCAAGCUCAGACUGCACUCGGAGAAGCCGCACGGUCCGAGCGAUGGACGGGGGUUCGAUUCCCCCCAUCUCCACCA
rfam:Agrococcus jejuensis strain DSM 22002 genome assembly, chromosome: I